rnacentral:lncRNA from 1 species
GUGCCAUCUAUAUAUAAAACACACAUGCAUACAGUAAUAAAGAUAGCAUCACACUUCAGAGAUAGUGCAUAUACUAAUUAUGAGCAAUCCAUCAUCCAUACAUCAUUAGUCCAGGACAACUAAAAGCUAGCACAAAGAUCCAUUAUGUGUGCCUACAUGCAUACACAGGCAUACGAUACAUCAUUAGUCCAGGACAACUAAAAGCUAGCACAAAUAUCCAUUAUGUGUGCCUACAUGCACACACAGGCAUACAAGUCCAGUAACAAGACAGCCAAAAGCACAACUAUCCAUCAGGUCUACAUGCACACAUGCGUAUAGUUGUAGGUUCACAACUCAAAGUAGUACAUCAUAGACAAAAGCGCAAAAUAUACAAUCUGGUUUUAGGUGUAAACAUAUCCUAGCAGAAGAUCCUUUUAGCUCACCAAACACACCGCAUUUGUGGAUG